UGCGUAGGCGGGCUAAUAAGUCAGUGGUGAAAUCUUCCGGCUCAACCGGGAACCUACCAUUGAUACUGUUAGUCUUGAGUUCGGUUGAGGUAGGCGGAAUGUGUAAUGUAGCGGUGAAAUGCUUAGAUAUUACACAGAACACCAAUUGCGUAGGCAGCUUACUAGACCGACACUGACGCUGAGGCACGAAAGCGUGGGGAGCGAACAGGAUUAGAUACCCUGGUAGUCC
rnacentral:rRNA from 1 species